AGUAACACGUGAGUAACCUGCCCUUGACUCUGGGAUAAGCCUGGGAAACUGGGUCUAAUACCGGAUACGACCGCUCCACGCAUGUGGUGGUGGUGGAAAGCUUUUGCGGUUUUGGAUGGACUCGCGGCCUAUCAGCUUGUUGGUGGGGUAAUGGCCUACCAAGGCGACGACGGGUAGCCGGCCUGAGAGGGUGACCGGCCACACUGGGACUGAGACACGGCCCAGACUCCUACGGGAGGCAGCAGUGGGGAAUAUUGCACAAUGGGCGCAAGCCUGAUGCAGCGACGCCGCGUGAGGGAUGACGGCCUUCGGGUUGUAAACCUCUUUCAGUAGGGAAGAAGCGAAAGUGACGGUACCUGCAGAAGAAGCGCCGGCUAACUACGUGCCAGCAGCCGCGGUAAUACGUAGGGCGCAAGCGUUAUCCGGAAUUAUUGGGCGUAAAGAGCUCGUAGGCGGUUUGUCGCGUCUGCUGUGAAAGACCGGGGCUCAACUCCGGUUCUGCAGUGGGUACGGGCAGACUAGAGUGAUGUAGGGGAGACUGGAAUUCCUGGUGUAGCGGUGAAAUGCGCAGAUAUCAGGAGGAACACCGAUGGCGAAGGCAGGUCUCUGGGCAUUAACUGACGCUGAGGAGCGAAAGCAUGGGGAGCGAACAGGAUUAGAUACCCUGGUAGUCCAUGCCGUAAACGUUGGGCACUAGGUGUGGGGGACAUUCCACGUUUUCCGCGCCGUAGCUAACGCAUUAAGUGCCCCGCCUGGGGAGUACGGCCGCAAGGCUAAAACUCAAAGGAAUUGACGGGGGC
rnacentral:rRNA from 1 species